AACGAACGCUGGCGGCAUGCUUUACACAUGCAAGUCGAACGAAUUAAACAAGAGCUUGCUCUUGUUUAAUUAGUGGCAAACGGGUGAGUAACACGUGGGAAUCUGCCCAUCAGUACGGAAUAACCCUUGGAAACAAGGGCUAAUACCGUAUAUUCUCUACGGAGGAAAGAUUUAUCGCUGAUGGAUGAGCCCGCGUUAGAUUAGGUAGUUGGUAGGGUAAUUGCCUACCAAGCCGAAGAUCUAUAGCUGGUCUGAGAGGAUGAUCAGCCACACUGGGACUGAGACACGGCCCAGACUCCUACGGGAGGCAGCAGUGGGGAAUAUUGGACAAUGGGCGAAAGCCUGAUCCAGCAAUGCCGCGUGAGUGAUGAAGGCCUUAGGGUUGUAAAGCUCUUUUAGUAUGGAAGAUAAUGACGGUACUACAGAAAAAGCCCCGG
rnacentral:rRNA from 1 species